UACGGAGGGUGCGAGCGUUAUCCGGAUUCACUGGGUUUAAAGGGUGCGUAGGUGGGAAUGUAAGUCAGUGGUGAAAUCUCUGAGCUUAACUCAGAAACUGCCAUUGAUACUAUGUUUCUUGAAUUUUCUGGAGGUCAGCGGAAUAUGUCAUGUAGCGGUGAAAUGCUUAGAUAUGACAUAGAACACCAAUUGCGAAGGCAGCUGGUUACAGGGAUAUUGACACUGAGGCACGAAAGCGUGGGGUUCAAACAGG
rnacentral:rRNA from 1 species